rnacentral:rRNA from 1 species
UACGUAGGGUGCGAGCGUUGUCCGGAAUUAUUGGGCGUAAAGGGCUCGUAGGCGGUCUGUUGCGUCAGGAGUGAAAACUCGGGGCUUAACCCCGAGCCUGCUUCUGAUACGGGCAGACUAGAGGUAUGCAGGGGAGAACGGAAUUCCAGGUGUAGCGGUGAAAUGCGUAGAUAUCUGGAGGAACACCGGUGGCGAAGGCGGCAUCCUGGACCGAUAUUGACGCUGAGGAGCGAAAGCUAGGGGAGCAAACGGG